rnacentral:rRNA from 1 species
AGCGAACGCUGGCGGCAGGCUUAACACAUGCAAGUCGAGCGGCCGUAGCAAUACGGCAGCGGCAGACGGGAGAGUAACACGUGGGAACGUACCCUUCAGUUCGGAACAACCAAGGGAAACUUUGGCUAAUACCGAAUACGUCCGUAAGGAGAAAGAUUUAUCGCUGAAGGACCGGCCCGCGUCUGAUUAGCUAGUUGGUGAGGUAACGGCUCACCAAGGCGACGAUCAGUAGCUGGUCUGAGAGGAUGAUCAGCCUCACUGGGACUGAGACACGGCCCAGACUCCUACGGGAGGCAGCAGUGGGGAAUAUUGGACAAUGGGCGCAAGCCUGAUCCAGCCAUGCCGCGUGGAUGAUGAAGGCCCUAGGGUUGUAAAGUCCUUUUAACGGGGAAGAUAAUGACGGUACCCGUAGAAUAAGCCCCGGCUAACUUCGUGCCAGCAGCCGCCGUAA